GACAGGCUAGCUCAAUCGGUAGAGCGUAAGACUCUUACAAAAGAAGUAAUCUUAAGGCUGCGGGUUCGACCCCCGCGUUGGGCU